AGGGUUUGAUCAUGGCUCAGAUUGAACGCUGGCGGCAGGCCUAACACAUGCAAGUCGAGCGGUAGAGAGAAGCUUGCUUCUCUUGAGAGCGGCGGACGGGUGAGUAAUGCCUAGGAAUCUGCCUGGUAGUGGGGGAUAACGUUCGGAAACGGACGCUAAUACCGCAUACGACCUACGGGAGAAAGCAGGGGACCUUCGGGCCCUGCGCUAUCAGAUGAGCCUAGGUCGGAUUAGCUAGUUGGUGAGGUAAUGGCUCACCAAGGCGACGAUCCGUAACUGGUCUGAGAGGAUGAUCAGUCACACUGGAACUGAGACACGGUCCAGACUCCUACGGGAGGCAGCAGUGGGGAAUAUUGGACAAUGGGCGAAAGCCUGAUCCAGCCAUGCCGCGUGUGUGAAGAAGGUCUUCGGAUUGUAAAGCACUUUAAGUUGGGAGGAAGGGUUGUAGAUUAAUACUCUGCAAUUUUGACGUUACCGACAGAAUAAGCACCGGCUAACUCUGUGCCAGCAGCCGCGGUAAUACAGAGGGUGCAAGCGUUAAUCGGAAUUACUGGGCGUAAAGCGCGCGUAGGUGGUUUGUUAAGUUGGAUGUGAAAUCCCCGGGCUCAACCUGGGAACUGCAUUCAAAACUGACUGACUAGAGUAUGGUAGAGGGUGGUGGAAUUUCCUGUGUAGCGGUGAAAUGCGUAGAUAUAGGAAGGAACACCAGUGGCGAAGGCGACCACCUGGACUAAUACCGACACUGAGGUGCGAAAGCGUGGGGAGCAAACAGGAUUAGAUACCCUGGUAGUCCACGCCGUAAACGAUGUCAACUAGCCGUUGGAAGCCUUGAGCUUUUAGUGGCGCAGCUAACGCAUUAAGUUGACCGCCUGGGGAGUACGGCCGCAAGG
rnacentral:rRNA from 1 species